CUCUCCGGAGGCGGCGGGCGGCCUCCCGCGGCGGGGAAGGAGGCAGGGAGGGAGAGCGGCGGCGCGCGGUCCUAGCGUCCCCCCGGCCCGGCCCGCAGGCGGCGCGUUUGGCCGAGCGCGGCGCCGCGCCAUGGCCCUUUAAGGCGCAGGGCCGCGGCGCGCAGCGCUCGCUGAUUGGUCGGCGCCGCGGAGACCUCGGAAGGGGGGACUUGAAACCGCCCGCCGGGCACGAAGGUGGGGGGAGUGUGUCGGUGCGCCCGGGCGGGCGCUGCCUCUGGCCGCGGCGCCGGGCGGGACCCGCCGGGGAUCGGACCGGUGCCCGCUCCCCACCGCCUCCGGUCCAGCCCCGGCAAGUCCCGCCCGGCGCCGCGCACCCCAAUUCCGCGGUGCGGGCGGUGAUGUCAGGGCCAGGAGCCCUAAGGGCAGCCUGGGGCCGCUCCCCCUACCCCGCCUGUCAGCUCCAGUGCCUCUGGUCACGGGGUGAGGCUUGCGGUGGAGCUUCUGCUGCCUGUUGUGCUUCGCUGCCCUUACAAACAAGGGGGGAAGCCACCCCCGUGGGGCUGGGUGCAGCCCUGGCCUGGCUGAGGGGGUCUCAGCCCUGAAAUGGGCUGUGGGAGCCCUUUUGCCUCUCGUCGGGGGUUUGGGCAAGGCCACGUGCACCCCAGGGCAGCCGUGCUUUUGGGGGUCUUGGCACCCCUUGCCCCAUUCCUACAGGACCCUGGCAGUCCAAGUACCCAGCACUUGUGGCAGUUUGCACGGGAACAGAGGUUGGAGCAGCACAAAAGCACAAGAGCUGCUCAGAGCUCUUCCCCCCUGCCCCGGCCUCACCUCUACCUCCAAAGUGACUCGCUGAACAAAAACCAGCAGAGAUGCAGGCUGCAUGUUAGUUACUGCUUGUUAAAAUGAGGGUGUUACAUACACCAAGCUUCAUCCUGCAGACGCUUGGAGAGUUUUGAGUGGGGCCGUGUGUGCGCAGUGACCCUCCUGCAAUGUGGGGCAGCAAUGUGGGGAGCUGUGGGGUGCAGGAAUGACUCCUCAGGUGGCAGGUAGUCCCGCUGUGCCCCAUGGGAAUAUUCCUGGCCAUCAGGACCUGCCUGAGCAGGGCCAAACUCGCUUUAGAGCAAGAUUUAAAACAAACAGGAGGAAAAAUAAAAUCUUGCAAUGCGGUAGGUUGAAAAGGAUCAAAACUUGAAGGCACCCGAGGUCCUCUCUUGGGAAGAGAAAACCCAGGACUUUGCACACACAAGUUUUGCUUUGCAGGGCGAGGUGAUGGUGGAGAUGACAAGACAGGCUUUGGGGGCUUUUCUCCAUGCACGUCUCUAGCACAGACCAGAGAGCCGGGCCAGGCAAAUACCAGACUUCGUGUCUCCUGAGCCCUCGUGUCCCUCUGCUGCUCAGAUGGACUCAAAAAUAACCGUGAGCCUCCCCCGGGACUGAGGCUAUGGGAUAAAUUUGACCCUGCAGCAGCACGUGAGGCAUCUGCUAAAUAUCCCUGGUUAAAAAUAAUACUCUCAUAUUCUGUACCUUCUGUGUGGAGGUGGAAAGCAUUAAUGCCGCCGGCAUCAUGGGUGCCAUACCCUGAGCAGCAAAAGGGCCUCUCCGUGCCCAGACUAUCACCGUGCUCCGCUCCUGUUCAUCAACAGUUUGUUUACUUUAAACCCCUUGAUUUUCAGGCAUAGGUGCCUUCAGCUCUCUGGUCUCCACCCAAGAGGGGAGGAUGUUGCCAAGAUUCUCAGAGGUGAGAGCAGCCUGGGGGGGCCAGGGAACCACCUCAGUUCUCCCUGCUCUCCUCUGGACCAGCUCCAGUUCUCGGCUGUUGCCAGGGGAGAUGGAGAAGAGCAGUUGAUGGGAAGCUUCCCGUAAGUGGCACCAAAAAAAAGUCUCACUGUUGGCAUCCUGACCUACCAGACACCAAACACCGACACAGUGAGGGUGGCACCUCGCAGCCCGCAUGAAUUCACAGGGUACCAGCCCUGCCUUCGCAUCUUCCACGACCUGGUGAUUAGAGCAAAUUAUAAAGCUGGCGCUUUGGACCAACUUAGCUAAAGAUGAGAAGGGAGACUAAUUUCAUAUCAUUGCCACCACAGAAUGCAAUUAAAUGGCUCUGCAAAGUUUUAGCGCAAGUUGUGACAGGAAAUCUGGGGGGAAAAAAAAAAAACAACAAACACAACAACAACAAAAAACAAAUAAAUCCCCAUACCCAAAGCCAGCAGCUCUGUCUAGCCAAGCCACUGGUAGACAUACCGAGGCUACCGAGCACUCCCAAGGCUUGGCGGCCAACCUGUGGGCUACCUGGCUUGGCUUUCUCUUUGUCAUGAGUUUUUCUUGGAUUGCAGCAAUUAAGGCACCAGAAUUCAUUAAAAAAAAUGAAACCAAGAAACCAAGAGCCCAGCUGGUUUUAACCAUCCACCUGUGGAUUUCUCCCUGGUCGGGGCUGUGUUGCACAGCACCCACCCAGUACCCAACAAACCCCACUCCACCAAGCCCAAAAGCAGGAGAAGGUGCUGGAGGGGAAACAGGCAGCGUCCCCCAGGCACAGCAGGGACAAGAGACGAACGUACCGGGCACUGCUGGCGGCUCAGCCCGGGCUGCUGUGGGAUCCCCGUGGGCAGGGAUGCGCAGCAGGAAGGACAGGUUUGGGAGGGAGCAGCUGUGGGAAGAGUGGCCUCGCCACGUUGCAUAUUAACGCUCUGCGUGCUUUAAUUGCGGUGGGACCUCUUGCACGGAGCCAUUAGCAUGCAAUGCGGAGGAACACGUAUUUUUGGGAUGCCUGCCUGGCUUGCAGACUCUCAGCCAGGGGAAAGAGGUGGGCCGGGGGAUGCAGGGAGAGGUGUCUCGGCCCUCGUCCUCCCCCUAGGGAUGCCGCUGGAGUCGCAGCUCCUUCCUCCAGCCCCUGAAUCAUCCCCGCUGCCAUCUGCUGCACCCUCUCUCUUCCCCACAGAUGUCCUUCUUCCUUCCCCAGGAGGAGAUGAGAACCCAGGAUGAGGUGCCAAACGCGACUUCAAACAGCAUCUAAUAAAACAUGGGAUUAAUUUCUUCUGACUGGUGUUCAAUGGCUCUGAUUAAGCAGGGCAGGAUUUAAUUAGCUUGUUUGGACUGCCUGGAAACCCCUGCCAAAGGUGAGGGAACCUCAGCAGCUGGCUCCCCCUGGGCUCCGACCACAAUCCAAUGGGUGCAGGCAGGACCUUCCCCCCAUGGAGCAGAGACCACUGCCUCUCCUGCCAGGCCAGCAGCUCCUUCGAGAUCCUGCGAGCACCCUCUAAUGCUCGGGACGGGUGCCCUUGGCUCUGCUUAAUUCCGGUGACACCGAUGGGGCAGGCACAGGAGGACAGGGAGGAGCAGGACAGGGGGUGAUGAACACACAGGCAGACCCGCCAGCAAGAAGAAACCCCUCCUUGGGCUGGGCGAGAUUUCCACACUUCAGUGCCGGUACAGAGUGCUCUGCAUGGCUCGCAUUCCAAUUAACCCAGCGUGGGCAGUGCGGUGGGUGCUGAGACCCACCUCCUCUCCCACCCUGGCACCACUGACAUUUUUCGGAAGGAGUCACUCGCCCCUCCUUGGGGUUGGGGUUUCUGGGUCCCACGGGGAUUGCGGUGUUGGGGUUUCCUGUUUACUCACGCAGCUGCACCAGUGGUUGGAAAAUCCGGGGUGCAUUACCCACAAUGCCAAAACAUCACCAGGGCCAUCACUGGCUCUGGUGUGCAGUUCAAGGCCUUCCCCCAUGCCAGCUCCUGGGCUGCAGGCUUGCAAAAACCCAGCCAGCAAAAGGCUUUUGACGAAGGAAGACAGUACCAGCAAUCUGCUAGUAUGUGCAUAAUUAAUUAAAUUGCAUAAUUAAUAACACUGCAUUAUUUAUAAAGGGCUAGGGGAUGUCCCUGCCAUAAGCAAGGGGUGAGUGCCACCCUACCCUGCAGAAAGCCGAGGCCAAGCCCUGCACUGCCUGCCCCCAAGCCCCCACGGGCACGGCCACGCAUGGGGCUGCAUUCCCUUGGGUGCGCUGCAUUUCCCUGCCCGCCCCGCGCUUGGCUGCCGCCAGGGCUUGCUGGCGUGGGCAGCAUAGGCAGAAGCCGGGCAGGGAGGGUGACGGAGAGGGAGGGGAGGGGAGGGGAGGGGAGGGGAGGGGAGGGCCGGGCCGGGCCGGGCCGGGCCGGGCCGGGCCACACCGUUCCGUUCCGUUCCAUUCGGGACCCCGCCGGGGCCACCCCCCCGCGGAGCAGCGCAGCGGGGCGGGACGCGGAAGGGGCCUCUUGAAACCGCCGCGCGCUGAUUGGCGGGGCACUCGCCCCGCCCCCUCCUCCUCUCCCCCCCCCCUCCCAUCCCCCUAGCCCGGAGGGGCCCGGGGGUGCUGGAGGGCUCCGUCCCCUCGCCCCCGCCCCCGGCUCUGGCCCCGUCGGCGGGCGGGCCGCAGCCGCCGGAAGGCCGCGCCUGUGCGCCCGGGCGGGGCGCUGAGCCGGGGCGGCCGCGGGCACGGCGCGGGGGGAGCGGGAAGGGCGGGGGGAGCAGCGCGGCCGCUCGGAGCAACGGCGCCCCCUGGCGGCUUGCGGCGGCGCGGACGGUGCCGGUACCGAACGGAGCCCUUGGGGUGCUGUGUCCCCUGUACCCUCCCGAGGUUCUGUGCCCGUGUGCCUGCCCGCUCCCAGGUGUCCUUGUGGCCCUGCCGGUGUCCCGUGCCUGUGCAUCCCCGGGGUCCUGUGCCCAUGUAGCCCCCCGUGGGUGUCCUGUGUCCGUGUCGUCCCCCGGGAUCCUCUGCCACUGUGCGUCCCUGGCGGGGUCUUGUGCCUCUAUAUUCCCCGGUCCCGGCAGUGUCCUGUGUCCCUGUUCCUGCCGGCGUCCUAUGCCUGUGUGCUUGAUGUUAGUGUCUCUGUGCACCCCCGCAGUGUCCUGUGCCCACCUCGGGGGUAUCCGUGUCCCCAUGUGCCCGUGGUGUCCUGUGCCCGUGGCUGUCCUGUGCCUGCACGCUCCUCCAGGAUGUCCCAGUGUUUAUGGACCCCAGGCCUGUCCCUGUCCUCGCGUACCCCCGGGUGUCCGUGUCACCACACACAACCUUGGACUAUCCCUGUCCCCAUAUAGCCCCUGGGUAUCCCUGUCCCCACAUGCCCCCUUGGACUGUCCCUGUCCCCAUGUACUCCAGGCUGUCCCUGUACUUGUGACCCCCUGGGACUGUCCCUGUCCUUGUGGACCCCCAGAGCUGUCCUUGUCCUCAUGGACCCCUCUGGGCAGUCCCUCCCCACACAGGCCACCAUCAGCAGGUCAGUGCCUUGGCACCUCCCAAACCUUCUCCAGAAGGUCCUGCUUCCUGGUGGCCUUUCCUCCUGGUGCUCACAGUUGGGCAUUGGUGUCCUGUGUCACCUGCUGUCCCAUUUGUUAACCAGCGUUCCAAUAAACAAUGCUUGCUCUGGAC